rnacentral:lncRNA from 10 species
UUUAAAACAGAAAAAAAAAUAGAGACAACCUAAAUGUUGGUUGUCAUGGGGAUGGUUAAAUAAAUGAUGAUAUGCUCACAUUAUGCUAUACCAUGCAGCCAUUAAUGUUUAUGCUACAAUAUUGAGGGGUUUUUUCUUUAAAAAAGGAAACAUACUGCAUAUUCUGUGAGAGGAAAGUCUUGGCAUAUAAGUGUAUGUUUGAACAGACGAAGCAGUUCAUUGUGGUUUCCUCAAGGGAGUGAAAAAAUGGGGAUGAAGUUAAAACAGACAACUUUUGCCUUUUACUUUAAAUACAUCUUUAUUGUCUGAAUUUUUUACAUAAGAAUAUAUCAUUUUAUAAAUUAAAAUAAAAUUUCAAACUAAGUGGUAAGAGUUUUAAAAUCUCUAAACUGUAUAGAUGAUAGAGAGAGAAAGAUCUAGAUUGGUCCAUAGUUAUAUCUAAGAUACAUUUACUGAAAGUUGACACUAUAGGAUUUGGCUGACAUGACAAGAAGAACAUGAAGAAAAUUAUCCUUUUAGGAUUAAAAGAAAAAAGCAACUAAUUUCGAAUCAUCUAGGUAAAGUGAAUUAAUAUACCUUGAUGGAAGUCCACACCAAUUUCAAAUUGGCUGGUACUUCAUCUGCCCUCUCUUCUUUGCUAAUUGGCAAUUUGCUAAGGAUGAACAAGACACAAGAUGCCUUUUAUCAGCAGGAAAUUUCACCUACCCUUUUCAGGAACUGCCUCAAAUAAGGUUUCAACCAAUUUAGCACUGCCCUCAAAGAAGCCUGAAGCUGGGAGAUCUGAGGUUUUUGGACACACCAACAAAUACAAAAGGAGAGAAAUGGUCUCCAGUCACAGAACCCCGCCUUCAUUCAAGAUCAAGUCUGAGCUGGCAAACUUAAUGGUUGGAACCUCAGGCCAAAGCUUUUAUCACAACAGAACUUUGUUCUUACCAUGUCUAGCCUAAUUCCUCGGAGACUCUGUUUCCACAGACCAGGAAAACAGCACUUGGUUUUGGGGCUUUUCUUUUAGAAAUGAAAUAAUACAGAAUCAGAACAAAACUUCAGAUGACAUAUAAUGGUGUAAAGAGGGAAGCACCUGCAAAACUCCCAGAAGAUAAAAAUAAGCCAUUACUGUUUGAUAUAUAUACUUUUUCAUAUUUCCUGUGCAAAAUAUGGCCAUGUAAAUAUAUAACUUAUGUCCAUAAGAGACUUUUACAAAAUAAUUAUAGUAUUCACUAGCCUGCUUUCUUUUCAAUAAUGCUAUGUCCCAGAUACUUUUUACGUUUAUCAGUCUGUAAAUAUAAUUUACACCAUCAUUUUUACCAGCCACAUGGUAUUUGUGUGUAUACAUAAACUAUCAUUUAUUUAACCCAUUCUCCAUGGAUUUACUACUUUUAACGGCAAAGACCACAAUUACUUUAGUACCAACAUAAUACAUUUAGGAUUUUCCUGCUUGCGAUUUACUAUACUGUAAUAAACAUCCUUGCACUUUUUUUUUUUUUUUUUUGAGACAGAGUCUCACUCUGUCACCCAGGCGGGAGUGCAGUGGUGCGAUCUCUCAGCUUACUGCAACUUCUGCCUCCCGGGUUCAAGCGAUUCUCAUGCCUCAGCCUCUCUAGUAGCUGGGAUUACAGGCAUGCAAUACCAUGCCCGGCUAAUUUUUGUAGUUUUAGGAGAGAGGGGGUUUCACCAUGUUGGCUAGGCUGGUCUCAAACUCCUGACCUCAAAUGAUCCAACACCUAGGCCUCCCAAAGUGCUGGGGUUACAGGCAUGGGCCACCGCUCCCAACUCAGUAAUUACUUUCUGUUAUAUUCAUGGGAGUAGAAUUGCAAGGUAUAUUCUGCACUUUAGUGCACACCAAACUGCCUUCAGAAAAGAUGUACCUGUUUACACUUUCAUCAUUUUAUCUGUUUUAUAUGUUUUCAGACACUUUAUCCUGCAACUUUGACUACUUAACGGUGGGUUCCAAUAGUAAAAAUAGUAACAUAUGCUUUGUGGUCAUGUUAGCACUGAUUAAUUAGUAAACCUUCCACGUUUUCCAGUCAGUAUCAACGUGGUCUUCCGUUUAUUUUCCUAAUCUCACUUUUCGUAACCUCCCUUUCUCUUCUUGUCUCACUUCCUUACAUUUCUUCUGAACCUCCGUAUACCUGUCUCAUUAAAUUUAAUGAUUAAACUUUUUAAUUACAAUUGUAAAAGUAUCUCUAAUCAAUUAAUACAUCUCAACCAAAGAUAAAAAUAUGGAACUCUUAUAAACUAUUGACUAACCAAUGAGAAGAGCACUGUAUUGAGAGAGUGAAGAAUGAUACGUGGCAGUAUAAAAUGAUUUCAGUGAUAAAGUUUUUAGCUUAUGAAUAAAAAGAAAAAUGCUAGUUUGUGUUGCAAAUAAAAUAAGCUGGGAAAUGUUUGGAUGUUUUGAAAUUUAGAAAGAGAAUGAGUUAGGGCAUGGUGGCUUCCAGAAGGAGAAAUAAGAGUGAAAUGUAUGAUGUUACUUCUAUUUUAUAUUAUGUGAAAUAUGAUAUACUCAUCUCAGUGUGGUAUACAUGGCUGAUAAGAGCUUAAACUGUUACAUUUGUGAAGUUAUUUGGGCUUUUGCAGAGUACACUGUCUAGGAAAUGACUCAUAUGGAGGACAGCUGAACUCCUUCAAUGGCCUAAAAUCGCCUCACGCACAAAGCAGUGGGCUACAUACAGCACAAUUGUAGUCCACUCACUAUAUACUCAAAAGUCCUGUAAUUCACCAUCCAUCACAUUUAUGGGGCCUGAGAAAUGUGCCCGUAACUCUAAAAAUCACACUCGGUAAUUCCAAGGACAGUGGUGCCAGCAGCUUGGAGCCAUCGAUGCUUCCAGGACACUGGUCCGUGGUCCUUGAUCAUCCCACAGUUCUUGGCAUGACUCAAGGAUGUAUUGACAUAAGUCAGAACCAGUCAUUCACCCUAAAAGCUAGGCUGCCUGGAACAUUACUCACAAAUUCCUUUCCCAAGAUUCCCAACAGACAGCCAGCAGAGGAAGGGAGAAGAUACAUCAGGGAGAGGUGAGGACACAGGGAACGAACAUACUUUGUGUGCUAACUCAGGUCCUCAGAGAAGUGGAUGGCACGGUGCGAUUAACCAUGCACGGCGCAUGUGGGCGGAAACGGCUGUGAAGGGGAAAGGAGGGGCAGCCGUGGGCAGGGAAAGCCUGCAGACAGCUAGCUGGUCUAAGGCCGGCGCAAGGAGCGGGGGCAGGAAGGAGAAUGGGGAGAAUGCGCUCAGACCAAAAGCACAGUUCUCAGCCUCAUCAGAGUACCUUAGGGCCCACCCUAAUGACCCUGCUUUAAC